rnacentral:tRNA from 1 species
GCAGUUGUGGCUCGGUGGUAGAGUGCUUGCCUAGCAUUCAUGAGGUGCUGGGUUUGAUUCUCAGCACUGCA